UCUCUGCUCAAUUGACGAGUGAGCUCGUAGCCAUUUCGUUUUGGAAGAUGACUAGAGUUCCACUCGUCCAUUGUGUGAGACU